ACUCCAACAGCAGGACUGUGGUACAGCAGCCUGUGUCUGACACAUUGCAGCCAGGAGACUCUGUGAGCCUGCAGUGUACGAUAGAGACUGGGAGCUGUGCAGGAGAACACAGUGUUUACUGGUUCAGACAUGGAUCAGGAGAAUCCCUUCCUGGAGUCAUUUACAGCCAUGGAAACAGCAGUGAUGAGUGUGAGAAGAGCCCUGAGGCUGGAUCUCCUACACGGAGCUGCGUCUACAGCCUCCCCAAGGGGAACCUCAGCCUCUCCGAUGCUGGGACUUACUACUGCGCUGUGGCCAUGUGUGGGGAGAUGCUGUUUGGGAACGGCACAUAGCUGGAUAUAGAUGGCUUUCAGAAGCUGCUGGAUCCUCUUCACUCUGGCUUGCUGAUAGUUUUAUCUUGCAGCAUUAUUCUGAACGUUGCUCUCAUUUGUAUAAGAUGUAAACUGACCUGUACACACUGUGCAGAUGAAAAGAACAGUGAUAUAUCAAAAGUGGAAUGGUCACGCAAGCAAUGCCAUGACGAGGACACACUGAAUUACGCUGCCCUGAACCUUAAGAAGCCAAAACCCAGGAGACAGAAGAAAGACGGGAAUAAUGACACUCUGUAUUCUGACCUCCGCUACAGAGAUUAUGAAUAAAGAUGCUUCUCAUUCAUGUCAGUCACACAGAGUGUUCAGGGUGUAGCUUUAAUAAUGUUCAGAGGAGGGCAGGGGAGCCAGUGCUUCUGAGACUGAAUCACGGGAUUUUACGGAGCACCGGUGCUGAGUUUGGUGUCAGUGUGUUUGGGGCGCAUUUUUAC